rnacentral:rRNA from 1 species
AGAUUGAGCGCUGGCGGCAGGCCUAACACAUGCAAGUCGAGCGGCAGCACGGGUACUUGUACCUGGUGGCGAGCGGCGGACGGGUGAGUAAUGCCUAGGAAUCUGCCUGGUAGUGGGGGAUAACGCUCGGAAACGGACGCUAAUACCGCAUACGUCCGUACGGGAGAAAGCGAGGGGACCUUCGGGCCUUGCGCUAUCAGUAUGAGCCGUAGGUCGGAUUAGCUAGGUUGGUGAGGUAAUGGCUACGACCGAAGGCGACGAUCCGUAACUGGUCUGAGAGGAUGAUCGAGUCAC